ensembl:lncRNA
CCCGGUGAGACCACGGCGCUGGGUGCGGGCAGCCCAGCAGGGACCUCUAGGGCAGGGAAGUCCAGAAGAAAAAGGAUAUCAAAGUCCAGCUGUCCAGUGUCAUCACAUUCAGAUUCUGCCAUGAGCUGUAAGACAUCAGAAGACAGUUUGCUUUCAAAACGUUGGAUAAAUCACACAAGUCAAUAUCACAUCAUGACUUCUCCAACCAUAUGCUCUCUCACAAGGCCACUGCUGGUCAUCAUCCAACAUCAGUGUGCAAAAAAUUGGCAUGACAUACCUUAUCAGGUAGGUUUCUGUUCAUUACCAUCGCAUUAGAUUGCACAUAAGUUAUUC